rnacentral:rRNA from 1 species
UCGGGAAUUUUGGGCAAUGGGCGAAAGCCUGACCCAGCAACGCCGCGUGAAGGAUGAAGUAUUUUGGUAUGUAAACUUCGAAAGAAUAGGAAGAAUAAAUGACGGUACUAUUUAUAAGGUCCGGCUAACUACGUGCCAGCAGCCGCGGUAAUACGUAGGGACCAAGCGUUGUUCGGAUUUACUGGGCGUAAAGGGCGCGUAGGCGGCAAUUCAAGUCAUCUGUGAAAUCUCCGGGCUUAACUCGGAACGGUCAGAUGAUACUGCUUUGCUAGAGUGCAGAAGGGGCAAUCGGAAUUCUUGGUGUAGCGGUGAAAUGCGUAGAUAUCAAGAGGAACACCUGAGGCGAAGGCGGGUUGCUGGGCUGAUACUGACGCUGAGGCGCGAAAGCUAGGGUAGCAAACGGGAUUAGAUACCCCGGUAGUCCCUGAGCGGGCUGGCAAGGCGCAU